AAAUAACUCAAUCCUGAAUUUCUGUGUCCAACGUUUGACCGUCCAUCUUAUUAGAAAAAAUUAUGAAAAAUUUUAAAAGAUAAGUCACGCAUAAAGUAUUAUUUAUGUUUUAUCAUCUAACAACAAUAAAAAUACUAAACAUAAAAAAAAAUUAUUUAAGACGGACAGACAAACGUUGAACACAGACACUUAGGAAUUGAGUUUUU
rfam:Oryza glumipatula chromosome 10, whole genome shotgun sequence.